GUAGGUGGGGCUCUUAAGGCAAAAG
rnacentral:piRNA from 1 species